rnacentral:rRNA from 1 species
GACGAACGCUGGCGGCGUGCUUAACACAUGCAAGUCGAACGAUGAAGAAGAGAAACGCGAACUUCGGUUCAAAUUUCACUUCGGAUUAGUGGCAGACGGGUGAGUAACGCGUGAGCAACCUACCUCUUACAAAGGGAUAGCCUCGGGAAACCGUGAUUAAUACCAUAUGACACAUUCAUAAGGCAUCUUAAGAAUGUUAAAGCUACGGCGGUAAGAGAUGGGCUCGCGUCCCAUUAGCUAGUUGGUGAGGUAACGGCCCACCAAGGCGACGAUGGGUAACCGGGAUGGGAGGGUGAACGGUCACAUUGGAAAUGAGGCACGGUCCAAACUCCGACGGGAGGCAGCAGUGGGGAAUAUUGCACAAGGGAGGGAACUCUGAUGCAGCGACGCCGCGUGAGAGAUGAAGGAAUUCGUUUCGUCAAGCUCUGUUCUAUGGGAAGAAAAGGACUGUACCAUAGGAGAAAGCCCCGGCUAAAUACGUG